CAGAUUAAAAUUAAAUUUUAUUUACAGUAAAAUGUUAGUUGUUAAUUCAACUUAAUUUGA
rnacentral:tRNA from 1 species